GCCGGGGUGGUGAAACAGGUAGACACAAGGGACUUAAAAUCCCUCGGAGAGUGAUCUCCGUGCCGGUUCGACUCCGGCCCUCGGCACCA
rnacentral:tRNA from 1 species